AGUUAAGAAUAUUAAUUGUGGUUAUUUUGUAUAAUAAAAGUAAUUUUAGUUAUUUGAGUUUAAGUAUAGUUUAUAGAAAGGAUUAUUGAGAUUUAUAGUUGAUGAGUAUUAUUAAAGAAGUAUGAAAUAUAUGGAAGGGGUAAUUUUUUGUAAGUAGAUUUUUAUUGUACCUUGUGUCUCAGGGUUAAUUUAUUUAAUGAUAGUAAAUUUAUUUUUCUCGAAUUUAAGAGAGUAAUGAUAUUAAAAAUGUAAUUGUGGAAUAAUUUUAUUUAAUAAUAUUAUGGUAAUGAAAUGUUUUCGUUCUUGAAGAUAUCUAGUUAUUUAAGAAAUGAAUUUAAUUCAGGUAUUAUAAUUAAUGAUAUUAAUUUUUUUAUAAAAUUGAUAUUGAUUUAGUACUAAUAAUUUGGGGGAUUAGCUUUGGGUUAUAAUUAAUAAUAUUGAUUGAAGUAUAGUAAGAUGAGGCUUUAAAGUAGCUAAAUUUUGGUGUGUUAUGACUUAUUUAUAUUUAUUGAAGUUUUUGUUAGUUAUUUUAAUAUUAUAUUAGAUUGAUUUUAUUAAUAGAGUUAAUAUGUAAAAAUGAUUAAAUUAGUAUAAUUAAUUGUUGUGAAGUUAUUUAUUGUUAUGAUAAUUUAUAUUAAGGAAUUAGGCAAAUUUUAUGUUCGCCUGUUUAUCAAAAACAUGUCCUUUUGUUUAUAUAUAAGGUCUGACCUGCCCACUGAAAUAAUUGAAGGGCCGCGGUAUAAUGACCGUGCAAAGGUAGCAUAAUCAUUAGUCUUUUAAUUGAGGGCUAGUAUGAAUGGUUGGACGAAACAUAAGCUGUCUCUUUAUAAGAAGUAGAAUUUAACUUUUUAGUAAAAAGGCUAAAAUUUAUAUAGAGGACGAGAAGACCCUAUAAAGUUUAAUAUUGAAUAAUGUUAAAGUAUUUUGGUAAGUUUUUAAUUUUAAAGUUAUAGAAUAUUUGGUUGGGGUGAUUUUAAGAUUUAGUUAACUCUUGAUUAUAAUUGACUGUGAUGAGAGGAUUAAUGAUCCAUUAUUAAUGAUUAAAAGAUUAAAUUACUUUAGGGAUAACAGCGUAAUUUUUUUUGAGAGUUCUUAUCGACAAAAGGGAUUGCGACCUCGAUGUUGAAUUAAGGUAAUUAAUAGGUGAAGAAGUUUAUUAAAUGAGUCUGUUCGACUUUUAAAACCUUACAUGAUUUGAGUUCAGACCGGCGUGAGCCAGGUCGGUUUCUAUCCUUAUGGAAUGAAAUAUUUUAGUACGAAAGGACCAAGUAUUUAAUAGAUUAUUUAAUUUUUGGAUAAGGUU
rnacentral:rRNA from 1 species